GAGAGUUAAACAGUACGUGAAAUUGUUGAAAGGGAAACGAUUGAAGCCAGUCGUACCUUCGGGGAUCGAGAUUGAGGAUUGCAACGGAUACCCUUCGGGGCUACCUGUCUGAUCUCUGAUCGUUGCUUUGGUGCUGAAAGCGUGCUUAUAGUUAUCAAAGUCGAUGGUUAAUAGGUUAGAAUGGGUUAAAUUCGUUAAGGAUGUUGACGUAAUGGCUUUAAACGACCCGUCUUGAAACACGGCUGUCUCUUAU
rnacentral:rRNA from 1 species